CUAAGGAGCUCAACUUUUAGUUGGCCAUGCUGAGCGCGAGUGUCGUUUGGGUGGUUUGCUCAUGGAUGGAAUGUUAGUUCUGGUGCAGGCCUUUGGGUUUGUGCUGAUUGGUUUGUGUGUUGUGUAGUGUUGGUGCGUUGUUGGGUUUUGAGGUAGCAGGCGUUUGUUUGUUAUCUUGGUGUAUCCCGGCAUGAGAGUAGUGAUCAGUUUGUUCUGGUUGCCUUGAGUGUUGAUCGGGUUGUUGUUUGAGAACUGUAUAGUGGACGCGAGCAUCUUCAAUGUUUGGAAGAAUACUCAAUUCUUUUUGGAUUGUGUUUCUUUGAUUCUUGAUUUUGUACUUAGUUAAAUAUAGUCAAGGUUAAUUUAUUCUUGAUUUUAUCUGUG
rnacentral:misc_RNA from 1 species